AUGGCGCAGCAUUUGCUAGCAGCUGCUGACAGGUACGGGCUGGACAGGCUGAAAGUCAUCUGCGUGGGCAAGCUCUCCCGUGGCAUCUCCAUCGACACGGUGGCGACGACUCUGGCAUUGGCUGAGCAGCACAACUGCUCGCACCUCAAGACUAAGUGCAUCGAGUUCAUCAUUAGCACUCCUGCGAUCCUUGACGCUGUGGUGGCGACGGAGGGUUAUAAGCAUCUGGAGGCAAGUUGUCCUUCUGCGCUUACCAGCAUUGUUCUCUCUAUGCGUGGGAGAAGGAACUGA
rnacentral:rRNA from 1 species